UACGGAGGGAGCUAGCGUUGUUCGGAAUUACUGGGCGUAAAGCGCACGUAGGCGGCUUUGUAAGUUAGAGGUGAAAGCCCGGGGCUCAACUCCGGAAUUGCCUUUAAGACUGCAUCGCUUGAAUCCGGGAGAGGUGAGUGGAAUUCCGAGUGAUAGAGGUGAAAUUCGUAGAUAUUCGGAAGAACACCAGUGGCGAAGGCGGCUCACUGGACGGUAUUGACGCUGAGGUGCGAAAGCGUGGGGAGCAAACAGG
rnacentral:rRNA from 1 species